rnacentral:rRNA from 1 species
UACGUAGGGGGCGAGCGUUAAUCGGAAUUACUGGGCGUAAAGCGCACGUAGGCGGACAUUUAAGUCAGGGGUGAAAUCCCAGAGCUCAACUCUGGAACUGCCUUUGAUACUGGGUGUCUUGAGUAUGGAAGAGGUGAGUGGAAUUCCGAGUGUAGAGGUGAAAUUCGUAGAUAUUCGGAGGAACACCAGUGGCGAAGGCGGCUCACUGGUCCAUUACUGACGCUGAGGUGCGAAAGCGUGGGGAGCAAACAGG